rnacentral:rRNA from 1 species
GGGUUGUGAGGUUAAGCGACUAAGCGUACACGGUGGAUGCCCUGGCAGUCAGAGGCGAUGAAGGGCGUGCUAAUCUGCGAUAAGCGCCGGUAAGGUGAUAUGAACCGUUAUAACCGGCGAUACCCGAAUGGGGAAACCCAGUGUGAUUCGUCACACUAUCAUUAACUGAAUCCAUAGGUUAAUGAGGCGAACCGGGGGAACUGAAACAUCUAAGUACCCCGAGGAAAAGAAAUCAACCGAGAUUCCCCCAGUAGCGGCGAGCGAACGGGGAGGAGCCCAGAGCCUGAAUCAGCAUGUGUGUUAGUGGAAGCGUCUGGAAAGGCGCGCGAUACAGGGUGACAGCCCCGUACACAAAAGCGUAUGUGCUGUGAGCUCGAUGAGUAGGGCGGGACACGUGGUAUCCUGUCUGAAUAUGGGGGGACCAUCCUCCAAGGCUAAAUACUCCUGACUGACCGAUAGUGAACCAGUACCGUGAGGGAAAGGCGAAAAGAACCCCGGCGAGGGGAGUGAAAAAGAACCUGAAACCGUGUACGUACAAGCAGUGGGAGCACCCUUUGGGGUGUGACUGCGUACCUUUUGUAUAAUGGGUCAGCGACUUAUAUUCUGUAGCAAGGUUAACCGAAUAGGGGAGCCGGAGGGAAACCGAGUCUUAAUUGGGCGUUAAGUUGCAGGGUAUAGACCCGAAACCCGGUGAUCUAGCCAUGGGCAGGUUGAAGGUUGGGUAACACUAACUGGAGGACCGAACCGACUAAUGUUGAAAAAUUAGCGGAUGACCUGUGGCUGGGGGUGAAAGGCCAAUCAAACCGGGAGAUAGCUGGUUCUCCCCGAAAGCUAUUUAGGUAGCGCCUCGUGAAUUCAUCUCCGGGGGUAGAGCACUGUUUCGGCUAGGGGGUCAUCCCGACUUACCAACCCGAUGCAAACUGCGAAUACCGGAGAAUGUUAUCACGGGAGACACACGGCGGGUGCUAACGUCCGUCGUGAAGAGGGAAACAACCCAGACCGCCAGCUAAGGUCCCAAAGUCAUGGUUAAGUGGGAAACGAUGUGGGAAGGCACAGACAGCCAGGAUGUUGGCUUAGAAGCAGCC